UAGGGAAUCUUCCGCAAUGGGCGAAAGCUUGACGGAGCAACGCCGCGUGAGUGAUGAAGGUCUUCGGAUCGUAAAACUCUGUUAUUAGGGAAGAACAAAUGUGUAAGUAACUAUGCACGUCUUGACGGUACCUAAUCAGAAAGGCACGGCUAACUACGUGCCAGCAGCCGCGGUAAUACGUAGGUGGCAAGCGUUAUCCGGAAUUAUUGGGCGUAAAGCGCGCGUAGGCGGUUUUUUAAGUCUGAUGUGAAAGCCCACGGCUCAACCGUGGAGGGUCAUUGGAAACUGGAAAACUUGAGUGCAGAAGAGGAAAGUGGAAUUCCAUGUGUAGCGGUGAAAUGCGCAGAGAUAUGGAGGAACACCAGUGGCGAAGGCGACUUUCUGGUCUGUAACUGACGCUGAUGUGCGAAAGCGUGGGGAUCAAACAGG
rnacentral:rRNA from 1 species